GUGAACGCUGGCGGUAGGCUUCACACCUGCAAGUCGAACGGCAGCACAGUAAGAGCUUGCUCUUACGGGUGGCGAGUGGCGGACGGGUGAGGAAUACAUCGGAAUCUACUUUUUCGUGGGGGAUAACGUAGGGAAACUUACGCUAAUACCGCAUACGACCUACGGGUGAAAGCAGGGGAUCUUCGGACCUUGCGCGAUUGAAUGAGCCGAUGUCGGAUUAGCUAGUUGGCGGGGUAAAGGCCCACCAAGGCGACGAUCCGUAGCUGGUCUGAGAGGAUGAUCAGCCACACUGGAACUGAGACACGGUCCAGACUCCUACGGGAGGCAGCAGUGGGGAAUAUUGGACAAUGGGCGCAAGCCUGAUCCAGCCAUACCGCGUGGGUGAAGAAGGCCUUCGGGUUGUAAAGCCCUUUUGUUGGGAAAGAAAAGCAGCAGGUUAAUACCCCGCUGUUCUGACGGUACCCAAAGAAUAAGCACCGGCUAACUUCGUG
rnacentral:rRNA from 1 species